AGGCAGCAGUGGGGAAUCUUGGACAAUGGGGGCAACCCUGAUCCAGCCAUGCCGCGUGAGUGAUGAAGGCCCUAGGGUCGUAAAGCUCUUUCGCCUGUGAAGAUAAUGACGGUAGCAGGUAAAGAAACCCCGGCUAACUCCGUGCCAGCAGCCGCGGUAUACGGAGGGGGUUAGCGUUGUUCGGAAUUACUGGGCGUAAAGCGCACGUAGGCGGAUCGGAAAGUUGGGGGUGAAAUCCCGGGGCUCAACCCCGGAACUGCCUCCAAAACUAUCGGUCUAGAGUUCGAGAGAGGUGAGUGGAAUUCCGAGUGUAGAGGUGAAAUUCGUAGAUAUUCGGAGGAACACCAGUGGCGAAGGCGGCUCACUGGCUCGAUACUGACGCUGAGGUGCGAAAGUGUGGGGAGCAAACAGGAUUAGAUACCCUGGUAGUCCACACCAUAAACGAUGAAUGCCAGUCGUCGGGUAGCAUGCUAUUCGGUGACACACCUAACGGAUUAAGCAUUCCG
rnacentral:rRNA from 1 species